GGGGAUGUAUCUCAAUUGGUCAGAGGGCCCGACUUAUGUUUUAGUAGUUUAAAAGUAAAACUUUCAAUGCAAGUGCAAGACUUGUCUAAAACCCCAAAUCGGGAAGUUGAGUGUUCGAGUCACUCCAUUCCCA
rnacentral:tRNA from 1 species